UUCACUCUCGGCUCUGCUAAUAUCCUGCUAGCAGCGGACUCUUUUAGCUUCUUUGAGCAUUCCUUCAAUGUAUUUCGGGUCGUCUGCAAUGUACGAAGACCUGUGCUCAGAGUGUUAGUUUCUUCAGAUUUGACAGAUGAAAUGGAUGUAAAAUGCUCAAUGGAAUGCCCGGUGCAUAAUAACCCCCGAAAUAACCAUUAUCAUUUAUUAGUUACUAUUUUUAUUUUAAAUACAACAAAUUUAUGAAGUAAAAGUAAUCCCAUUGUAAAAUGAGGAAAAUGAGACCGAGACGUUAAGGAGCUGAAUUUCGCACAGAUGAUAAAUGAUGGCAGUGGGAUUUGAACACAGGUAGUCCUUUUAAUUCAGUACUGUCUCCCAAAUUGUAGAUAUCCCAACAUUAUGUAGGCACAAUUAAGGAAUACGUGUUGUAGUGUAGUUGCAAACUAGGGUGGCACAUUAUUACUAAGAUGCUUGAGUAUCUAUUGAAAAUUUUAAGUACAAAAGACAUCAGAGGAGAAUUUUUUGUGGCUUUUGCAGGUUCUGAUUGUAACUGUCUCAGCUUAAGAGGCGAGGAAAUGAGAACUAAGAAGCACGUUUUUCACCUGUGAAAAGGAAAACCACAGCAAUAUUUUUCUUUUGAUAAGAAUAUAUCAGAUAUACUUCAAAAACUCAACAGCCUAUUACUUUUGAGAUGAUCUUAGGGGAUUCUAGUGGCUCAGUGGAUAGGAGUCUGUUUGCCAAUUCAGGAAACAUGGGUUCGAUCCCUGAUCUGGGAAGAUCCCACAUGCUGUGGAGCAACUAAGCCUGUGGACCACAGCUACUGAGCCCCUACGCUCUACAGCUUGGGAGCUGCAAAUACUGAGCCCAUUUCCCCUGGAACCUGUGCUUCUGCAGCAAGAAAAGCCACUGCAAUGAGAAUCCUGUGUACCACAACUGAAGAGUAGACCCUGCUUGCCACAACUAGAGAAAAGCCCUGCAGUAAUGAAGAUCCAGCACAGCCAAAAAUAAACAAGUAAAGAUUUUUUUAAAAAAGAUGAUU
rnacentral:lncRNA from 1 species